rnacentral:rRNA from 1 species
GACGAACGCUGGCGGCGUGCUUAACACAUGCAAGUCGAACGGAAAGGCUCCAGCUUGCUGGAGUACUCGAGUGGCGAACGGGUGAGUAACACGUGGGUGAUCUGCCCUGCACUUCGGGAUAAGCCUGGGAAACUGGGUCUAAUUCCGGAUAGGACCGCACUUUGGUGUGUGUGGUGGAAAGGUUUUUCUGGUGUGGGAUGAGCUCGCGGCCUAUCAGUUUGUUGGUGGGGUAAUGGCCUACCAAGACGGCGACGGGUAGCCGGCCUGAGAGGGUGGACGGUCACAUUGGGACUGAGAUACGGCCCAGACUCCUACGGGAGGCAGCAGUGGGGAAUAUUGCACAAUGGGGGAAACCCUGAUGCAGCGACGCCGCGUGGGGGAUGAAGGCCUUCGGGUUGUAAACUCCUUUCGCUAGGGACGAAGCUUUUUGUGACGGUACCUGGAGAAGAAGCACCGGCUAACUACGUG